AUUGAACGCUGGCGGCAGGCCUAACACAUGCAAGUCGAGCGAGCGGGGGGCGGGUGAGUAAUGUAUGUGGGCUGCCCGAUAGAGGGGGGUAAAUAUUGUAAAAGGUAGCUAAUACCGCAUACUAUCGGAUAACCCAUAUGGGAUUAACUAGUAGGUGAGGUAAUGGCUCACCUAGGCGACGCGCCCUAGCUGGGCUGAGAGGAUGAUCGUCCACACUGGGACUGAGACACGGCCCAGACUCCUACGGAGGCAGCAGUGGGGAAUAUUGCACAAUGGGCGCAAGCCGGAUGCAGCCAUGCCGCGUGUAUGAAGAAGGCCCUAGGGUUGUAAAGUACUUUCAGUCGGGAGGCGUUACCGACAGAAGAAGCACCGGCUAACUCCGUGCCAGCAGCCGCGGUAAUAC
rnacentral:rRNA from 1 species